GCUAGUGGAUGUAAGAGGCAGCAGUGGACGAGGCCUUGGCUCCCAAGACCAUCAUCUCCCGCUGAGAGGAAUCUAGAAAAUCGUUCCCCAGUCCUUCUCCACCGAGCAUUCCCAAUGACACCACCUGCAGAGCUUGACAGGUGGUGGUGCUCAGUCUGCGUUUAAUGGCGAAGGAAGAACUCAGGUCCACAAAAGAGACAAGAAUCAUAACAAUCAUAAAAUGAGAGGAAGCACAAGCAUCCCAGGCUGUGUUCUGUGUCCAGAACAGGCCUGUGAGGGCACCAGAUCCUUCUCAGUUCUCCAGUGGACAGAGGUCAUCUCCUUGGAGUUUUCAAAAUGCUGCAAGUUCAAGGAAAAACUCCACGGCUGCCACAUGUCCAGUCCGAGGUCAACUGGGAAGGAAGGGAAGAAAAGAAAAAGAAAGAACACAUUAUCUCCAAUCACAUAUUUCUGUGGCACUAAUAAGAGUCAAUUUUUGUACUUUUUCGAUUUCUCUAAAUUCUCUAUAAUCAACAAAAGAUAACAUUUAUCUUAAAACAGUU
rnacentral:lncRNA from 1 species